CCUACGGGGUGCAGUAGUGGGGAAUAUUGGACAAUGGGCGAAAGCCUGAUCCAGCCAUGCCGCGUGUGUGAAGAAGGCCUUCGGGUUGUAAAGCACUUUCAGUGGGGAAGAAAGCCUUGGGGCUAAUACCCUCGAGGAAGGACAUCACCCACAGAAGAAGCACCGGCUAACUCCGUGCCAGCAGCCGCGGUAAUACGGAGGGUGCGAGCGUUAAUCGGAAUUACUGGGCGUAAAGCGCGCGUAGGCGGUCUGAUAAGCCGGUUGUGAAAGCCCCGGGCUCAACCUGGGAACGGCAUCCGGAACUGUCAGGCUAGAGUGCAGGAGAGGAAGGUAGAAUUCCCGGUGUAGCGGUGAAAUGCGUAGAGAUCGGGAGGAAUACCAGUGGCGAAGGCGGCCUUCUGGACUGACACUGACGCUGAGGUGCGAAAGCGUGGGUAGCAAACAGGAUUAGAUACCCUAGUAGUC
rnacentral:rRNA from 1 species